GAUCCCUCUCUUGCGGCCUAAAAUUAAGAUGUCAUUCAUAUGACCCUUUCAUUGAUAUCUCCACCUACCUUGGGGGUGUGUGUGAGAGAGAGAGGAUAUAUAGCGAUAGAAAAAGAGAGAGAUGGAGCAAGCUGAAAUCAUAGUCAAGCAAGAGGGAGAAUCAAAGAAGUAAAAUCAUAGUCAAGCAAGAGAGAGAAACAAUAAGAGCGCAGCGCGAAACUACAUAAGAGAGCAAAAUCAUAGUCAAGAAAGAGACCAUAAAAAUGUGGUUUCUCUCUAGAUCAUAUUUGGUUUUUCUCUCUAGAUCAUAUCCGAACAAAUCUAGUUUUUCUCUCUAGAUCAUAUUUGGUUUUUCUCUCUAAAUCAUAUCCGAACCAAUCUAGUUUUUCUCUCUAGAUCAUAAUCAAGAAAGAGAGCAAAAUUAUAGUCAAGAAAGACCCCAUGAAAAUCAAUGGGGAAAACCCCUGAAAUCUAGAAAGAGAAACAGUUAGAGCACCACAACUGUAUUAGAGAAAAAGCAAAAUUAUACCCAAGAAUGGAAAGAAAAUGACAGUUAAGAUUGAAUACCAGUUUGUCCCUAUAAGUAUUGAGAUUCUGUAUUUCCUUGUUUAGUUGAUGAGAAAGAGGGAUCUUGGGAGAGAGAGAGCACCACUGUGAGAAGUCUCUUGUUCCUGGAAAAGGGAGAGAGAGAUCUCUUGGAACUGGAAAAGGAAGAGAGAGAGAGGCAUUCUUUGAGAGAGAGAGCUUGGUUGUAAGAGACCUCUGUCGUGGGGUAAGAGUAGAGAACGAGAGAGGGACAGUGGAGGGAUGUUUUGUUAAAAGAGUGGCGGGAGAGAGUCUCCA
rnacentral:lncRNA from 1 species